AUUGAACGCUGGCGGCAUGCCUUACACAUGCAAGUCGAACGGUAACAGGUCUUCGGAUGCUGACGAGUGGCGAACGGGUGAGUAAUACAUCGGAACGUGCCUAGUAGUGGGGGAUAACUACUCGAAAGAGUGGCUAAUACCGCAUGAGAUCUACGGAUGAAAGCAGGGGAUCGCAAGACCUUGUGCUACUAGAGCGGCCGAUGGCAGAUUAGGUAGUUGGUGGGAUAAAAGCUUACCAAGCCGACGAUCGGUAGCUGGUCUGAGAGGACGAUCAGCCACACUGGGACUGAGACGCGGACCAGACUCCUACGGGAGGCAGCAGUGGGGAAUUUUGGACAAUGGGCGCAAGCCUGAUCCAGCAAUGCCGCGUGCAGGAUGAAGGCCUUCGGGUUGUAAACUGCUUUUGUACAGAACGAAAAGCCCUGGGUUAAUACCCUGGGGUCAUGACGGUACCGUAAGAAUAAGCACCGGCUAACUACGUGCCAGCAGCCGCCGUAA
rnacentral:rRNA from 1 species